AUACGGAGGGUGCAAGCGUUACUCGGAAUCACUGGGCGUAAAGCGCGCGCAGGCGGCUAUUUAAGUUGGAUGUGAAAGCCUAUGGCUCAACCAUAGAACUGCAUCCAAAACUAUUUAGCUAGAGUGUGGGAGAGGAAGAUGGAAUUAGUUGUGUAGGGGUAAAAUCCGUAGAGAUAACUAGGAAUACCAAAAGCGAAGGCAAUCUGCUGGAACACUACUGACGCUGAGGCGCGAAAGCGUGGGGAGCAAACAGGAUUAGAAACCCUAGUAGUCC
rnacentral:rRNA from 1 species